rnacentral:lncRNA from 1 species
CACACAUUUUCCAUCAAUUUACUAUUCUAAAAUACAUUUUUACAAGAAAAUGGAUAUCAAAUAAUUUAUAAAGAGAAAACGUCAAUCGACAAUGAACUUCUUGCUUCUUGAGUUCUUUAACUAGAUCUAAAAUUCCAUUCGGGAUUUUUGAAUUGUUCCAAGAUUUUCAGUAGAACUUUCCAAUUCGUAACAAUUAGGAACUCAAGAUGUAGCAACAUCUAUGAUGCAAAAAAUAAUAGACUUGUAUCAUAAUACCUUUUUGAGUUAGUUAAGAAUUGAUAGUCAUUAUCUAGAUAUACAAGUCACGGUCGAUCGAGAAGAGGGAAGUCUGCUUUUGAUAAGAUGAUUUAACGGUAAUUGGAUUUGGGACACAAUCUACUUCUAAGGACGAUAUUUUUUGCAGUUAUACGAAAGUUGAGAGUGAGAACGAGAAUGCAAAAUGAAUAAGAUGGGGGUCUUCUUACAAUUUUUUCUUAACGUGUGUGGCGGUCAACAUGUGAUGGACACUUAUUGGUGUUUGCUCUUCGUCCAAAUUCAAAGUCUUCACUCAUCUUAGAAUGUUGAACAUAGGUUUUGAUUAAUUAGUAUUAAAUAGGGUAGAUCUAAUUGUAGUUUAAGACAACUUGGGAUGACCCAAUAUCUCAAGUCAAAGUAAAAUGAAUGAGACAAAAGAUUGAAAUUUCAUGCUCUAAUUUCACCAAUCUUGCAUCUGUUCUUGAUUAAAAAAAAAAAAAAGGGUUAUACUCCCUGGUAAAG